CUGUGCCUGGAACGGACUGUCUGCCAAGGAGGCGUCAGCCUGAGAACAGCCAGGGAGGCAGCUUGCCGCUGGGGGACCAGCGGGUCUCCUCUCCUUGGUGCGCGCAGUGUCCCUGCCUCGGAGACCGCCCUGCAGACCCCACCCGAGGCUUCCGCGGCGAGCUGCUGGAUCCCGGGGGAGCUGGGCAGGAAGCCCUGUGUUCCCACUGGCGCUGGCGCUGGCGAUCCUCAGUGCUGACCCAUCCCGCCUUCCUCCGAGCAAGGCCUUCCCAUCUCUUCUCCCACCUGCCACACAGCACCACGCCACAGCCCUGACCUCCCACAGCACCUGCCACAUAGCGCCACGCCACGGCCCUGGCCUCCCACAGCACCUGCCACACAGUGCCACGCCAGGGGCCUGACCUCCCACACAGCACCACGCCACGGCCCUGACCUCCCACAGCAAACAAACGAGAAGACACCCUGCUCCCAGGGUUGGCUCAGGAGAUCCAAGGUCAGCGAGCCAGGCACUGCCCUCACCCCCACAGCCACAUGAGGACAGACAACAAAGUGUCCGAACAGGGAUGGGAUGUGUUCUAAUGAUGCUGCAAUAAAUUUCACAAUAGCUACAACUAUUUCACUAUAAAA